UCCCCGCGCGCCUCCCCGCGCCUUACUCGAUGAAGAACACCCGGCCGUCCCUGCAGACGCCAUAGGACCAGUGCUCAGGCACACUGUGAGUGAAAGAGAAUGUAAGCUCCAAAGGACAUGGAAAAUAAAGGGUCCUGGUCUCACAGCAGACGUGGGGUAUGUGAGCUUGUUGCAGAGCUGCUGCUCACGGAUGGGAACCUCCUGGCACUGAAGCCUCCAAAAUCAUUCAGGCUGCACUUUCUGCACGACUGUGUGCUAGCCGAGAGGUGCGUGGGAAUUGGUGGCCUCUGCUGCAGGUGACGGGAAUCUCAGGUACUUAAAGCCAUGGCCUAGAGGAGGGAAGUGCCUAAGUCCAGAAACUGCAGUUGUCUAGGGCCAGCACUGAGGAUUUAGAGUCCCUAGCGCUGCUGUUGCAGGUUCAAGCAUGCUCAGCCUUGGAAUUGUCACCCCUCCCUUGACUAGUAGCUGCAGCUGUCUAAGGCUGGCCUCUGGCAAUUGGCCCCAUGGCUAUAGCCAGAGAAGCUACAAGUG